rnacentral:rRNA from 1 species
GGGUUGUGAGGUUAAGCGAAUAAGCGUACACGGUGGAUGCCUAGGCAAUCAGAGGCGAUGAAGGACGUGCUAAUCUGCGAAAAGCGUCGGUAAGGUGAUAUGAACCGUUAUACCCGACGAUAUCCGAAUGGGGAAACCCAGUAUCCAAUGGAUACUAUCAUUAACUGAAUCCAUAGGUUAAUGAGGCGAACCGGGAGAACUGAAACAUCUCAGUACCCCGAGGAAAAGAAAUCAACCGAGAUUCCCCUAGUAGCGGCGAGCGAACGGGGAGCAGCCCAGAGUCUUAAUCAAUAGCAGUGUCAGGAGAACGGUCUGGAAAGUCCGGCAGUAAAGGGUGAUAGCCCCGUAUCUGAAGAUGCUGUUAUUGUGAACUCGACGAGUAGGGCGGGACACGUGUUAUCCUGUCUGAAUAUGGGGGGACCAUCCUCCAAGGCUAAAUACUCCUGAUUGACCGAUAGUGAACCAGUACCGUGAGGGAAAGGCGAAAAGAACCCCGGCGAGGGGAGUGAAAAAGAACCUGAAACCGUGUACGUACAAGCAGUAGGAGCCCAUGGGGUGACUGCGUACCUUUUGUAUAAUGGGUCAGCGACUUAUAUUCUGUAGCAAGGUUAACCGUAUAGGGGAGCCGUAGGGAAACCGAGUCUUAACUGGGCGAAUGAGUUGCAGGGUAUAGACCCGAAACCCGGUGAUCUAUCCAUGGGCAGGUUGAAGGUUGGGUAACACUAACUGGAGGACCGAACCGACUAAUGUUGAAAAAUUAGCGGAUGACUUGUGGAUGGGGGUGAAAGGCCAAUCAAACCGGGAGAUAGCUGGUUCUCCCCGAAAGCUAUUUAGGUAGCGCCUCGUGAACUCAUCUUCGGGGGUAGAGCACUGUUUCGACUAGGGGGUCAUCCCGACUUACCAACUCGAUGCAAACUGCGAAUACCGAAGAAUGUUAUCACGGGAGACACACGGCGGGUGCUAACGUCCGUCGUGAAGAGGGAAACAACCCAGACCGCCAGCUAAGGUCCCAAAGUCAUGGUUAAGUGGGAAACGAAGUGGGAAGGCUCAGACAGCCAGGAUGUUGGCUUAGAAGCAGCCAUCAUUUAAAGAAAGCGUAAUAGCUCACUGGUCGAGUCGGCCCGCGCGGAAGAUGUAACGGGGCUAAACCAUGCACCGAAGCUGCGGCAGCGAACUAUGUGGUUGUUGGGUAGGGGAGCGUUCUGUAAGCCUGCGAAGGUGUACUGUGAGGUAUGCUGGAGGUAUCAGAAGUGCGAAUGCUGACAUAAGUAACGAUAAUGCGGGUGAAAAACCCGCACGCCGGAAGACCAAGGGUUCCUGUCCAACGUUAAUCGGGGCAGGGUGAGUCGACCCCUAAGGCGAGGCUGAAAAGCGUAGUCGAUGGGAAACGGGUUAAUAUUCCCGUACUGGUGGUAACUGCGAUGGGGGAACGGAGAAGGCUAGGUUGUCCGGGCGACGGUCGUCCCGGUUCAAGCAGGUAGGCAGAGUGAUUAGGCAAAUCCGGUCACUUAAUGCUGAGAUGUGAUGACGAACCACCAAGGUGGUGAAGCAAUUGAUGCCCCGCUUCCAGGAAAAGCCUCUAAGCUUCAGGUUACCAACAAUCGUACCCCAAACCGACACAGGUGGUCAGGUAGAGAAUACUCAGGCGCUUGAGAGAACUCGGGUGAAGGAACUAGGCAAAAUGGUGCCGUAACUUCGGGAGAAGGCACGCUGGCGGUAGGUAAAGUCCCUCGCGGACGGCGCUGAAGCCAGUCGAAGAUACCAGCUGGCUGCAACUGUUUAUUAAAAACACAGCACUGUGCAAACACGAAAGUGGACGUAUACGGUGUGACGCCUGCCCGGUGCUGGAAGGUUAAUUGAUGGGGUCAGCCGUAAGGCGAAGCUCCUGAUCGAAGCCCCAGUAAACGGCGGCCGUAACUAUAACGGUCCUAAGGUAGCGAAAUUCCUUGUCGGGUAAGUUCCGACCUGCACGAAUGGCGUAAUGAUGGCCAGGCUGUCUCCACCCGAGACUCAGUGAAAUUGAACUCGCUGUGAAGAUGCAGUGUACCCGCGGCAAGACGGAAAGACCCCGUGAACCUUUACUAUAGCUUGACACUGAACAUUGAGCCUUGAUGUGUAGGAUAGGUGGGAGGCUUUGAAGUGUGGACGCCAGUCUGCAUGGAGCCAACCUUGAAAUACCACCCUUUAACGUUUGAUGUUCUAACCUAGGCCCAUAAACUGGGUCGGGGACCGUGUCUGGUGGGUAGUUUGACUGGGGCGGUCUCCUCCUAAAGAGUAACGGAGGAGCACGAAGGUUGGCUAAGCAUGGUCGGACAUCAUGCGGUUAGUGCAAAGGCAUAAGCCAGCUUGACUGCGAGAGUGACGGCUCGAGCAGGUACGAAAGUAGGUCUUAGUGAUCCGGUGGUUCUGAAUGGAAGGGCCAUCGCUCAACGGAUAAAAGGUACUCCGGGGAUAACAGGCUGAUACCGCCCAAGAGUUCAUAUCGACGGCGGUGUUUGGCACCUCGAUGUCGGCUCAUCACAUCCUGGGGCUGAAGUAGGUCCCAAGGGUAUGGCUGUUCGCCAUUUAAAGUGGUACGCGAGCUGGGUUUAGAACGUCGUGAGACAGUUCGGUCCCUAUCUGCCGUGGGCGUUGGAAGAUUGAGAGGGGUUGCUCCUAGUACGAGAGGACCGGAGUGAACGCACCACUGGUGUUCGGGUUGUCAUGCCAAUGGCAUUGCCCGGUAGCUAAGUGCGGAAGAGAUAACCGCUGAAAGCAUCUAAGCGGGAAACUUGCCUCGAGAUGAGUCUUCCCUGUCACUUUAAGUGACCUAAAGGAACGUUUAAGACUAAGACGUUGAUAGGCUGGGUGUGUAAGCGUAGCGAUACGUUGAGCUAACCAGUACUAAUGAACCGUGAGGCUUAACCUGACAACACCGAAAGUGUUUUG